AUCGACGCUCUCUCUCUCUUCCUCUUCUUCUGUCGCCGCUGCCACUCCUUCGAACGCUUUACCAACAACGACGACCGCGGCCACAGCACUGCUCUCCUCAUUCGCCGCUUUUUGCUUCACUUCCACCUCUCACCCUUUCCGAUUUCUUUCUCUUUCUCUCCUUCGUCCUCGUCGUCGUCAGCUGUCGUACACUCUCGUCAAGGCUCUACCACGCGCGCACGCACACAUCAUUGCACACGCGUGACGACCCCGUCUGCACUCAAAAAAAGCGCGAUAACACCCUGAAAGGGCGGCGUUCGGCUGUCGCGUGUUCUCUCCCGUGUACCCCCCCCCCCCCCCGCCAUUCGCGCACGUUGGCGGCAACUCGCCCGCUUCUCUUUUUUUCGCCAGUGAAAAUGGUUACGACCGUCAAGGUUGAGAUUCCGCGCGAGAGCAUUAUGAAGCCGUCGUACAUGGACGACGUCUACCUGCUCAACCAGUUUGACGGCGUCAAUGACAAUCCGCAGGAGGACGGUCUGCCACUGCGCAAGUGGAUCCUGCGCGAGGUCCACGAGGUGCUCGCGAAGAAUCCGAGGAAGACGGAGGUUGUCGUGAAGCUCAAGUCGGACAAGAGUGCCCGCACCGAGUUCGCUGUCGCGAUCAUCGGCGAUUACGUCCCCAACUACCUCCACCAGAGCUGAAAGGCCGCCGCCGGCUGUGGCGCAGCGGGAGAAAACGAACUGAUAAGGCGAAGGCCAAUCAAGACCUGAAAAGCUGUGAGUGCGUGCCUGUGUGUGUGAAAUGAGUGCCUGAGGAGCGGUGGCACUUCGCCACGAAGCUGCGCGCUUCCUCUUCAUAGCAUCACCCGCCGAAGGAAUUCGGUGUUGUGGCGAAGGCCCACUUUAGCACGACGGUGCGGUCUUUAUCUUGCCUUUGCAUGCGGGUGUGUGCCGGUGGUGAACACUGUCUGUAUGCCUUCUAGGGGCGGCUAUGGUAGUAGGUGGGCGCGUGGCGCACUCCCCGCGGCUGUGAGCGGAGAGCCAGGUGCGAGAGGGGCAUCGGGACAGGAAAAAGUCGGCGUCUGGAUGCGGCUAUCGCAGGGUGCUCUUCCUGCUUUCUCUCUUGCUUUCUCUUCCAAAGUCGCGCGUGUCGUUUUGUGCUCCUUACAGGGCACGAUGCGGCGAUACACGCGCGCAGUUCGCGUCUUUGGCUGCGCGGCAGCAUUUUAUGCUAUCCUGCUUCUCUUUUCUGUGCAUCCGUGCAUCUGUGAAGGCGGUGAGGGCUGCAGCCGAAGUCUUACACAGGUUUUGCUCUCAUUCCCUUUCUAAGUCCGAGCCCUUCCCACCUUUGCCUCGCUCCACCAUCAACGUUGCCUGCCGCGCGUGUGUGUCUGCUUCGCGUUUCUCUUCACCACUACUUUGCUAGCGUUCUGUCUGUCUUGCCAACGACGGUGGCUGCGCGCGUCUAUCUUUCUUUGUCUAGCUUGUUUUGUAUAUAUUUCUAGUUUCUCUGUGUAUGUGCGCGCUCAUGGAAGCCGGCGUGUGCUGAGACGUACAAGCACCACCAGCCCUGGUAGAAGCGCGACGGAGGUGUGCUCCUCUGCGAAUCUGGUGGUGGUGGGGGUGCAAGGACACACUUACGUGGCGCACGCCUCUUGGCGUUUCGGAUGCCACCGUGCUCGGAAAGGCGCAUCAGGCUCGCACCCACGCGCGUAUACGGAAGCUCACACGACAAACCUGUGCAUAUGGUCUUUCCGUUGACGCUAUUUUUCUCUUACUUUGUCAGUGCUUGUCAGCGCGCAAGGAUGCAGACG
rnacentral:misc_RNA from 1 species